GAUGAACGCUGGCGGCGUGCCUAAUACAUGCAAGUCGAGCGAACAGACGAGGAGCUUGCUCCUCUGACGUUAGCGGCGGACGGGUGAGUAACACGUGGAUAACCUACCUAUAAGACUGGGAUAACCUCGGGAAACCGGAGCUAAUACCGGAUAAUAUAUUGAACCGCAUGGUUCAAUAGUGAAUGACGGUUUUGCUGUCACUUAUAGAUGGAUCCGCGCCGCAUUAGCUAGUUGGUAAGGUAACGGCUUAUCAAGGCGACGAUGCGUAGCCGACCUGUGAGGGGGAUCGGCGACACUGGAACGGAGACACGGUCCAGACGCCUACGGGAGGCAGCAGUAGGGAAUCUUCCGCAAUGGGCGAAAGCCUGACGGAGCAACGCCGCGUGAGUGAUGAAGGUCUUCGGAUCGUAAAACUCUGUUAUUAGGGAAGAACAAAUGUGUAAGUAAAUAUGCACGUCUUGACGGUAACUAAUCAGAAAGCCACGGCUAACUACGUG
rnacentral:rRNA from 1 species